rnacentral:pre_miRNA from 1 species
AGAGGCAUCACUGUAACCCUCAAGCUUCAAGCCUUUACCACGCGCAAAGUACAAACCAAGAAUGGUAAAGGCUUGAAGCUUGAGGGUUACAGUGAUGCCUC